rnacentral:rRNA from 1 species
UGCAGUCGAGCGAAUGGNNUGAGAGCUUGCUCUCAAGAAGUUAGCGGCGGACGGGUGAGUAACACGUGGGUAACCUGCCCAUAAGACUGGGAUAACUCCGGGAAACCGGGGCUAAUACCGGAUAACAUUUUGAACUGCAUAGUUCGAAAUUGAAAGGCGGCUUCGGCUGUCACUUAUGGAUGGACCCGCGUCGCAUUAGCUAGUUGGUGAGGUAACGGCUCACCAAGGCAACGAUGCGUAGCCGACCUGAGAGGGUGAUCGGCCACACUGGGACUGAGACACGGCCCAGACUCCUACGGGAGGCAGCAGUAGGGAAUCUUCCGCAAUGGACGAAAGUCUGACGGAGCAACGCCGCGUGAGUGAUGAAGGCUUUCGGGUCGUAAAACUCUGUUGUUAGGGAAGAACAAGUGCUAGUUGAAUAAGCUGGCACCUUGACGGUACCUAACCAGAAAGCCACGGCUAACUACGUGCCAGCAGCCGCGGUAAUACGUAGGUGGCAAGCGUUAUCCGGAAUUAUUGGGCGUAAAGCGCGCGCAGGUGGUUUCUUAAGUCUGAUGUGAAAGCCCACGGCUCAACCGUGGAGGGUCAUUGGAAACUGGGAGACUUGAGUGCAGAAGAGGAAAGUGGAAUUCCAUGUGCAGCGGUGAAAUGCGUAGAGAUAUGGAGGAACACCAGUGGCGAANGCGACUUUCUGGUCUGUAACUGACACUGAGGCGCGAAAGCGUGGGGAGCAAACAGGANUAGAUACCCUGGUAGUCCACGCCGUAAACGAUGAGUGCUAAGUGUUAGAGGGUUUCCNCCCUUUANUGCUGAAGUUAACGCAUUANNCACUCCNNCCUG